rnacentral:rRNA from 1 species
AUUGAACGCUGGCGGCAUGCUUUACACAUGCAAGUCGAACGGCAGCGCGGGCUUCGGCCUGGCGGCGAGUGGCGAACGGGUGAGUAAUGCAUCGGAACGUGCCCAGUAGUGGGGGAUAGCCCGGCGAAAGCCGGAUUAAUACCGCAUACGACCUGAGGGUGUAAGCGGGGGACCGAAAGGCCUUGCGCUAUUGGAGCGGCCGAUGUCGGAUUAGCUAGUUGGGGGGGUAAAGGCUUACCAAGGCGACGAUCCGUAGCUGGUCUGAGAGGACGACCAGCCACACUGGGACUGAGACACGGCCCAGACUCCUACGGGAGGCAGCAGUGGGGAAUUUUGGACAAUGGGGGCAACCCUGAUCCAGCCAUGCCGCGUGCGGGAAGAAGGCCUUCGGGUUGUAAACCGCUUUUGUUCGGGAAGAAAUCCUCUGGGCUAAUACCCCGGGGGGAUGACGGUACCGGAAGAAUAAGCACCGGCUAACUACGUG